rnacentral:rRNA from 1 species
UACGUAGGUGGCAAGCGUUGUCCGGAUUUACUGGGCGUAAAGAGCGCGCAGGCGGUCGUUCAAGUCGCGUGUGAAAGCCCCCCGGCUCAACUGGGGAGGGUCACGCGAUACUGAUCGACUCGAAGGCAGGAGAGGGAUGCGGAAUUCCAGGUGUAGCGGUGAAAUGCGUAGAUAUCUGGAGGAACACCGGUGGCGAAGGCGGCAUCCUGGACCGAUACUGACGCUGAGGAGCGAAAGCCAGGGGAGCAAACGGG